ACUUAAUUUUUACAAGUCUAUCUUUUCCACCAGCCAACAUGCUGGGGUAGAAUUAACUGCCCUAAAGCUCAACAUAAGUCUCAAAGUUUGGGGAGAAUUAGGAUGGAGAUGAGCUGGAGUCUAAGAUGCUAAUGAGAUGGAACUGAUGGCAGAGUUCACCAGAAACAAAAGUAGGUUAAAGUUUUCAGAGAAUAGAAUCAAUGUGAGAGCACUACAAGCAACUAGUUAAUUUAUUUAAAAAAAAAAAAGCAGAGAGAUUAUUAACAGGAAAGAGACUGCUUACCCUUUCACAGUAGACACACUAAUUGGAAUUCUCUAUGGCCUAAAGGCACAAGAAAAUACUGAAAGUGUGAAAUAGCAGGAAGGUAAAGGGGGGGGGGCAGGAUUAGAAAGAAACCAGAACAAACUCCCACACUUAGGCUGACAGCCCCUCCCUGAACCACAGUUCUGUUAGAUCCUUUACUGCACCAACCAGCCAACCAGCGCCUGCCUCAAAUGCUCACGUAGCAAAGAUGCAAAAUAUUAACAUCACACCUGACUGCGUGCUGUUUGAGGAAUUUUAAAUUAGCACACAAGAAAAUGUUUCCCUUGAGAGCUAUUCUGGCAUUUUAUAUUCACACACUGCAACUGGUAUAGAAGACCAAAGCAACAUGCUUUUAAUAAAAUACCACACAAUGCAUGGGAGGGGUGGUGUUCAUUACCUUGGCGAUAAUUCCACUUUUUACCCUUCAGAGUAGAGAGGCAUUAAACCCCACUGAGCUGAUAAAAUAGGCUGGAUGAAUCCCUAUAGCUAGAAGAGCAUUAGCAGCAGGAUUGCAUAGAUUUCCUAAUGCAAAAGCCUGGGUAGCAUUUCAUUAUUGAGGUUGCCUGAUUGCUUUGGUUCAAGCCUUAUCUUCAAUUCUUUCCUCCAUCUAUUUAAAAUCACAAUAAACAAAUGAAGCAAUCACACAACAAACAGCACCAUGGGCUGAACUCCUCCCCGUUACAGAGGCGGCUGCACAAAGUUGCAGCCAAAAUACCUGUUUUGCACUCUAAGCAAACAAAGUUUGCCUUGGUACCAUCGUGCCCAAGGAAAAUGUGCACUGCCUAUCUACGCUGAUGCUGGUAAAUUGUGUCCGGAAUCAGCAGAACAUUCUAGAGUCUAAGUAUCCAGCCACUUUUCUUAUUAUGGCAACCUAAUCCGUCUGUCUUCCUCCCCUGCCAAGGUAUUAUUUCCCUAGCCACAUGCGGCGACAUUAGAUUUCCAUUCUCCUAAAAUAAAACUUCCCAGACGCCCUCCACAGGAGUGUAAAAGGCAGGAUGUGCAGCUCACUCAGAUUAAAAUUCACCCCCUUCAUUAAAUUUGUACCUGCUUCCAUUAUUAAGAGGACUUCUAAAUUUCCCUGUCUGUGUUCUCUCAUAAAAAUCCUGUUUUAAAAUUCAAUGACUUGUUCCAAGACACUUCAUCAUCCCAUUUCAUAAAAAAUUUAAUGGUGUCUAAUCCUCUAAGACUCACUAAAGUUGCUCUGGGUGUAAUGCCAGCUCCAGGUCAAUCUAAGAGUAGAUACUUCAAUCUGAAAUGUAUAGUUGGACCCACUUAGCCAUGAUUCUGAUGUUUAUAAAUUUUAGUCUACAGAAAAAAAUGACCCUUGGAAUUUAUUAAGCAUGCGCCUGCCCAGGAUCCCUUAGAGCAGGUACCUGUUCAGUAAGUUGUGGAAUAGACUAGAACUAUACACUUAACAGGUACUCUCAGGAGACUGUUGCACAUACAGAGGACAAUUGCUAUGCUGGUGAGAAUAAAGCUCAAUGCAAAUAUAUUCCCAUCCUCUCCCCACUCACCCUGAGAUUAGGUGUAUUCCAGGACACUUCUAACUCCACCAAGGUGGUCCACAUCUGCACUACCCUCCUCUAACCUUAUGCAAAUGGCCUCCUCAUUGCUUCUGUUUCAUGACUAGUCCUGUUCCCAGCCAAAACAGAAACUGGGCAUACGAUUCCAGCUGGAUUCCCUGGAACCUUCUCUAGCUCCUAUCACAAAAACAAAAACAAAAACAAAAACAAAAAAAAUAAAAAACAACAACAACAACAACAACAACAACAAAAACAUUUUCAUUGUAGCCUAGACAUACUACAAACUUCUAAAUUCCAGACUGUUGAAUAGAAUAGACUACCACAUACCUAAAAAAAAAGACUAUAAAACUUUUAAGACCUCCCACUUCUGGCCCCCUGGCUUUAGGGUAGCUCCACACUUCAGCAUCUGUUCCAAGAUCCUGCAUGAGUGAUUCGGAACAGAACCUUUUCUAAGUGCUAGUCCCCCAACCCUUCGACUAAGUUUCCUAGGGUCAAAUUCAUCAUGCUGGCCCUGCUCCCCACGUGAAGAAUUGCUCUUUCUGGAUUUUACUUUGUUGCAAUGAUGUCACUGGCUAGACUGCACAUCAUUUUAGGGAGGAUCCUUCCGAAACUCUUCAAAGUAACCUCUGUAAUGACACUGAUAAAUAUAGUGCUCACUCUUUUAGCUGAUGUCCCCUUAAUGAGAAUCUACCAAAGUUUCUGUCUGGACUUAAGACUAAAAUUUAAUUUACUGUUCAUGAGCAAUUGAUUCUUUUUCUCUUUAAUCUCACACACUAAAUUUUAUGACAAAAGGCUUCCAUUUCUACCUCUAUUCGGAAACAAAGCUUACCCAGGAUUACACUAUGGCUCGUAUGUCACAUUCCAGGAAACUAUAUGCCCACUAUUAUUUUCCUUCCUUCACGACUAUAUAUAUUGCCUUAUUCCUAAAUCUCUUGUAAGCAAUUAUCUUGUAGUUAAGGCUUCUUGACUCCUUCCUGGAUAUGUUCAUCAAUAACUCAAAUGCUAAGGAUGGCAAUUUAUCCUAUCAACAAGUAUUGACUACAGGAUCACCUAGUGCUCAGUAAAUGAUGAAAUUCAUCUGAGGAAAUAUGAAGUAAUAUUAUGAGGGACCUAGGAAGUGACUGCGAAAAGACUGGCAUGCACAGCAUGUAAUUCAAAUGUGAGGGUAGUAUUGGUGACUGACAAGUCAGCUCAAAGGUAAAGGAAAUCAGCAAAGACAGAAGUGCUAGUUCCACAAGGUAGGACUUGAAGAUUGGGAUUGUGGGGAGAGUCAAAAUGCCAACUUGGAUAGACUGAGGAAGACACUGGAGAUCAAAUGACUCCACAGCUAGCACAGGCUGAAAGCUCGUCGAAAAGGAACUGGAAGUAGAGUUUAGAUGUAUGAGUCUGUAACCAGUCACAAUCUCCCUUCUCAUUUGUAAAUGGGGAUAUUUCUAAGAAGAGCCUUGACCUAAUCAAGAUUAGUUAUACGAAAUAUUAGUGUGAUGCCUCGCUCUUUCUUACACACUCAGCUGCUGGAAUUGCAGAAGGCUCCGGAAGCUGGGGACAAAUGGUGGGUAGUCUUGUAAGUUAGCAGAUGACUUUGGACUUGACAGAGGAGGAUUGCAGGAGCUAUUUAGAGUUCCUGAACAGGGCAGUGACAAGAUGAAAGCAGUGUUUAAAGAAGAUUAAUGUGGCCGUGCAGGAAGAGAGCAAAGGAGAAAAUACCACAGGCACGGACUAGAAAGCUGUGUGUUUCGUAGGUACAAAGUGACUAAAGCCGGAUGAAGGAUGUGGCAGAAGAUUUGCCAUGCAGAGACCCUGAAAUACUUUAAAGGUAGUCACGGUGUUCUUAGGGAGGAACUUGUGACUGCUGUACAUGGGGACAAAUGAGUCAAAAGUCAAAUGUAAUCAUAGUAACUAAUCAAUAACAGCCCUUUCUUUAUCACUUAAUAGAUUCUGAGCUGCAUAGAGAGACAGUGAGUCUCUUAUUCACCAGUGUCUAGCAUAGUAUUUCAAGUAAUUUUGUUCAUAGAAAAAAAACAUUGAAAGGAUACAAAAUAUCUUUUCAAUAUAAUAUUGAGUGUUAAAAAUAACAGUCCUGUUGAUUGAAGAUGGUUAAGGCACUGCUCAUGAAUUAUUUACUCCAACCCUAACUUUGUGCAAUAGAUCAUCUUUCACGUUAAUCUCAUAAAACAGGUAUAGCAAGUUUCCUGUAGUCCUUCAAAGGUCAAUUCACCAGAAAAUGACAAAUGCAGAAUUCAGAACUACAUUCUGAAUAUAGGGCUGGUGUGGGCAGGUGCUUCAUUGGUAUGAGUCCUAUCAAACAAAAGAAAGAGUGGAAACCACUUAAUUUACACCCACAUUGCACCCCACAAACAUUAAACCACCAUGUGAGUUGCGCAGGUAGGCACUGACUUGGGUAUUAAACUCAUCCUUCUGUCAGGCUUACAAUAGUUGAGUAGAGGAAAGGAUAUGUAAAAUAAAGAGCAUAAAGCCAUCUCUCCAGCCCACAGUUCUCAUUCUUAUAUAGAAACCUACAGUAUGCUUUGGGUUGAGUUUUGUAUACAGUGCAAGAUGAAGGCCUUACUCCACUCAUCCACUUGUGGCCUUCCAGUUUUCUAGGCAAUACUACAAAACCAGAUUAUACUGUCCUUAUCAUGUGUGUGUUCUUAGCACACUUGCCAGGAAAUACCAGCUGGCUGUAAAUAGGUGGGUUUAUUUCUGGGUUCUAUACCUUUGCACUGGCCGCAUAUAUUUUGUUAUAAAGGAGCAUGGUGCCUUCUGAUCCAUUCUUUUGCUCGUGGCUCUUUCAUUGAUUCAAGAUCGCUUGUGUUUCUGCAUGACACUAAAGACUUCUUCAUUUCUGUGAGAACGUGGCAUUAGCAUGUUGAUACACACUGUACUAACUUUGUAGCUCCCCUGGUGCUGUGGCACGGACAUUUUAACAUUUAUUCUUCUCAAUCACUGACCAUGAGCCCAAUUCCCUUUGUUCAGAUUUUCUUUCACACGUGUCUAGUUUUCAGUAUAUAGGUAAUUUACUUGAGUAUUGCUGUGGCUUUUUAAAACAGGAAUGCUUUGGAGAGGGGGGGUGUGUUUAUGAAUGUUAAUGGAGUAUCCUGAAGCUUACUGGAUUUAUUGGUUUUACAAGAUCUUGGUGGCACCUUAGAGUUAACUGUGUGUAAACAAUCAUGUCACCUACAAAUACAGACAGUUGAACUAUUUUUGUUGGCUGCCUUCUGAUUUUCUCUCUUGCCUUCUCGGGCUUGCACUUCCAGGGCUGUGCUGAAAGGAAACGAGGAGCAUGGGCAUCUUCGUCUUAUCUUUAAUCAUAGAAAAAGAUAUCAGAUUUUGCCUCAGAUGUCACCUAGGCAGUUGUCAUGAGAACACUUCUUUGUAUUGAAGUAAAUCCUGCUGCACUUAGUCUGUGCAGGACUUGAUCCUGAAACAAAGGUCGUAUUCUGACAAAUGUUUGUUUAUGCAUCUACUGACGUGGGAACAUGACUUCCUUAAUCUCUAGCUUUUUUUUUUAAAGAAAAAGUAUUUUAAUAUACAAAUGAUACAUUUAAAUAUAAACCUGCAGUAAUAUUUUAAAGAUAUAUCCAUGUAUUGUUUGUAUCUCACCUAUUUGUGAUUUAUCUACUAUCAAUUUAAGGAACAGCCAGUGUCUCUAAUAAUGUUAAAAAUUUCAGAGCAACCAUGCUGACAUGUCAAAUUUUUUCAUUCAUAAAAUGUUUUCUACAUUUUAAAGACUAUAUCUGGUACUACAUAUGUAAAUAUAUACAAAUAGGAUUUCACUAACAAUAUUGGAGAACUGUCACCUAUAUUCCCAUCUGUCACUUGGCUAACCUUCUUUUUUUUUUAAUAUUUUUUAUUAUGUAUUUUCCUCAAUUACAUUUCCAAUGCUAUCCCAAAAGUCCCCCAUACCCUCCCCCCCACUUCCCUACCCACCCUUUCCCAUUUUUUUGGCUCUGGCGUCCCCCUGUACUGGGGCAUAUACAGUUUGAGUGUCUAAUGGGUCUCUCUUUCCAGUGAUGGCCGACUAGGCCAUCUUUUGAUACAUAUGCAGCUAGAGUCAAGAGUCACAUUUACUGAUUCACAUGUGUUGAGCCAUCUUUACAGCCCUAGAAUAUGUAACUUGACAUGAGGAAUAACUCUUUAAAUGUUUGUGGAUGCAGUCUGCUGGUAUUUUGUUGUAGAUUUUUGAAUCUAUAUUCUUCAAAACAAUUUGUCCAUCUUUUUUUUUCUUAUACUGCUUUUGUGUGUCUUUGUUAUCAGAGUGAUGCUAGCCUCAGAGUCACUGAAUUUAGAAGCGUUCAGAAGAAUUUGCGUAGCUCUUUCCUAAAUACUUAGCCAAGUUCAGCAGUAAAGCUGGGCAGCUCCACGCUUUUCUUAGAGGCAAGGAUUUGUAUUACUGACUUAGUCUCUUUCUUUGUUAUGAAUCCGCUCCGAUUUUACAUUUCCUCAUGAUUUAGUGUUGGCGCCUUGUGUGUUUGAGUUUUUCCAUUUUGUCUGGCUAGCCCGUUUGCUGGUGAGCGAGCGUUCCACAGGAGCCUGUGAAUUGGAGCCGUGUCAGUCAGGAUGCCUUUUCUUCAACUUUCUUGCCUCCUUUAUGUGCAGAGGUGUUUCUCUAUUGUCAUUAAUCAACUUUAUCAUUUAUUAAAAGAGCUUAGUAUUACCGAAUCUUCUGAUUUUGUCACAAUUGUUUCUGCUCCAGUCUUUCUCUGUCUUUUCCUUCUAUUGAUUUUAAACUUGCUUUGUUUUUUCCUAAGUUCUUUGAAGUAUAUUGCUAAUGUUUUAAAUUUUAUAGAAAUCUGCAUUUUUUUAAUUAUAAAUUUUCCUCUUAGGACUGAUUUUACAGUGUGUAUAAAUUCUUGUAUGUUAUGUUUCUAUCUUAUUACAAGAUAUUUUUAUUCCUUAUUUAUUGAUUUUUGAGUGGCAUUUUGUUUAUUCUCACACACCACUACAUGUGUAAGUGUAUCUAUAAGUAUGUAUAGUGGGAGUGGGCAGGGGAGUCUCACUGUGUAGCUUGAUUGGCCUGGAUGUCUAUGUUGGUAUCAGAGUAAUGUUACCACUGCAGGCCAGAGGGAGAGACUGGUCUGCCAUCUCCUUGGACCUGGCUGGGGCCAUGAAGCUUCCUUUCUCCAGACACAUCGAUUGAAUAGACACUCUCCAGACAAGCAGAUGCUGAAAACGGCAGAUAAGAUGGGUCCUUCCAGCAACAGAUGAACUCUCUUGCCAGAGCCCAAUGGCUACUACGCUUGGGGAAACUUACAUAGUAGUAAGGAAAUAUUAUGCCUAUGUAGAUAAAUCAAAAGUUGUUUAAGAAGCCGGGCGUGGUGGUGCAUGCCUUUAAUCCCAGCACUUGGGAGGUAGAGGCAGGCGGAUUUCUGAGUUCGAGGCCAGCCUGGUCUACAAAGUGAGUUCCAGGACAGCCAGGGCUACAGAGAGAAACCCUGCCUUGAAAAACCAAAAAAAGUAGUUUAAGACCAAUGUUAAAACCCUCAGAAAACUCUGUACAAACUCUCAACAUCUAUCUACUGAGUAACUGAGUUAGUUCAAUAAUCCCUUGUCUUCCCCACUCCCACCCCUCACUAUCCCUCUGGCUUAUGUUGUACUUUCUUUUAAUGCUUAUAUCCACCCCACCCACAUUUUUAACUACAAACAAUAUAGGAGACAGUUACUCAAAUAACAUCUCCCCUUUAUAAAAGGAAAAAGGAGUUGUGGGGCAAGUGGAACUGUGUCACUAGACAGAAAACUGCUAAAAUCAAGCAGAUUCAGGAACCCCAGCAAUUCUCAGAAUAGCACGUUUGAAUCUGUUCUCAACCAGAUUCUUGUCCUGGAGCAUGCGACCACACUUCACUAAGAGGACCAUGACAACUGGCCAUGCAGCAUAGAGUCCAGAGUUUCGUCUUCCUUGAGUGACAUGUUGGUGUCACAUGAGCCAGGCAUCCCAACAGGAAGAAUGGAAUGUAGACUAGUGUCCCUGCAUUCACCUCUCUGAGUGGCAUUCUGACACCUUGGUGGCUAGGUAGAAACACAGAACUAUGUGUAUGCAGGUGUACGUGUGUGUGUAUGUUUGUAUGUGUAUGUUUGUUUGUGUAUGUAUAAGUUUGUAUGUGUAUGCCUCCUCUCUUCUCUUCAGACGUGGUCUGAUAAAUUAUUUUAAAUUUCUCCUACUAUUGUCUUCUAAAAAUGUCUACUAUUUUAUGGCAUUGUGUCAAUAUGACUUCGAGCCUCCUAAAUUUUCUAGUAUGUAUUUUUGACCUAACACAGACUCUAUCUUGGAGAAUGUUUCCUGUGCAGUUAAGAAGACUGCCCGUUAGGCUGUUAUUGGUGAACAAUAUGCCUGUUAGACCCAUUUAGUCUAAAGGACAUUUCAAAUUCAAUGUGUUUUUGUUGAUUUUCUGUCUAGAUCAUCUUUCCACUGUUGAACAUGGGCAUUAAGUUAGGUUCCUUUCUAUUAUAGUAUCAUAGUCUGUCUCUCCUUCAAUCAAUGCAUUAGUAAUUGCAUUAUGUAUUUGGGAAUUCUGAUAUUCUGGUGCAUAUGGACUUAUAAUUAUGUUUUCGUGCUAAUUUGUGUAUGUGUACAUAAUGGAAAUAGAGAUAUUUAUGAUGCAAAGGAUCAAAUUGAGAGCUAUACAUAUGUAUAUGAUAGCCAAUGUACCACUGAGAUACGGAUUUUAUUAUUAUAUACUGACUUUCUCUGCAAUCAUUUAUAACUUGUCAGUGAAUGUCUCAUCUUAUUUAAGAACACACAUGCAUCAAACAGCUUCAAACAGUUUCUGUUACUCUCAGAACUGCACCAAUGAAACAUUCUUGCCAUUCUCCAAGAAUAACAAAACACCUAUCGGAAGUAUCACUCACUCCAAUUUUAAGUUGUACUUCAGAGUGAUCGUAAUAAAAACAACAUCGGAAUAUAAAAAGACACAUUGAUCAAAGGAAUCAAAUUCAAGACCCAUGCAUAAGUUCACACACAACUGGACACUUAGUUAUUUACAAAGAAGUUAGAAAUACAUGCUGGGAAAAAAAAUCAGCAUCUUCUUCAAAUGGUGACAGCUAAAUUGGAUGUCUGAAUGGAGACGAGUGCAAAUAGAUCCACACUUGUCACUCUGCACAAACUUCAACUUUAAAUGGAUUAAAGACUUCAACAUAAAACCAGAUGUACUGAAUCUGAUAGAGGAGAGAGUGAAAAAUAGUUGUGGACUUAUUGUCACAGGAAAAGACUUUCUAAAUGGGACACCAACAGCCCAGGCACCAAGAACAACAAUUAAUAAAUGGGACCCCAUGAAACUGAAAAGCUUCUGUAUGACAAAGGACACCAUCAUUCUGAUCAUUCUGAUGAAGAAGCAGGCUACAAAAGGGGAGAAGAUUUUUACCCAUUUUAUUUCCAGUAGAGCGUCAAUACCUACAAUAUUUAAAGAACUGAAAACAAUUAACAUUAAGAAACAAAUAAACCAAUUAAGAAUGGGGAACAGAACUAAGCAGAUUUCUCAAAAGAUAAAGCACAAAUGGAUGAGAGACAAUGAGAGAAAUACUCAGUGCCCUUAGUCAUCAGGGACAUGCAAUCCAAACAACUUUGAUAUAUAUCAUCUAACACCAGUCUGGAUGACCAAAAGAAAUAAAACAAAUGGCAGCUCAGAGCGGUGAGGAUGUUGUGUGGAGAGAAUCAGCAUCCAUUGCUAGUUAGAGUGAAAAUCAUCAGCCACUGUGGAAAUCAGUAUGCCAAUUCCCCAGGAAGCUGAAAAUAGAUCCACCUCAAGAUCAAGCUAUAUCGUUCUUGAGCAUAUACCCAAAGUACUCUACAUCCUACUACAGAGACACUUGCUCAUAUUCAUUGAUAUUCAAUUCAUGAUAACUAGAAAUUGGAAACAGCCUAGAUGUCCAUCAACAGAUGGAUAAUAAAAAUGUGGUGCAUUGACACAAUGAAAUAUUAUUCAGCUAUAAAAAAAAAUAAAUUGUGAGAUUCACGGGUAAAAUUGAUGGAGUUAGAAAAAAAUCUUGAGUGAGGUAACACAGACCCCAGAAGAUAACUAUGCUGUAUAUCUUUUAAGCUUUUAGUAAGCAUGCUACAAUCUUUAUAACAACAGACUUUAGGUAUAGAAUAAGGGACAAGUGAAUAGGGGGGGAUCCCCAAAGGAAGGGGAAAUAGAAUAUAUAGUUAUAGAGAGACAGGGGAAAGAAUGGAAUGAUAGGAUUAAAAGAAUGAAUUGAGGGAAGAGGCAGUAGAGUUGAAAUAUGGUAAGGGACACCUAAUACAAGCCGUGUAUGUGUGUGUGUGUGUGUAGAAUCACCAAAUAACAAGGGAUAUAGUUCCCAAAUAAAACAUCACUUGCCACCAAAUGUAACCUCCAGCUCUAGAAAUUGGUUAUAUCUAAUUGAGUUGUUGGCCAAACGGACCCCAUAGAUUGGUUGCUCUCCACAAACUGAUGGUAAUACCCUAUGGAUGAAGACAAUACUUAAAUACCUCAUUGAAUACAGAAAAAUCUAGCUGGUGCCUAACUAGAGUAUCCACCCCUAUUGGCUAGUGUUCAUGGUACUACCAGUUACUCUGCAUGUUACCAGAGGAGUAAGGUAACCACCAACCAGCUACAUACCCUGUGAUCUACAGCAGUAACUUGCAUGCCUGAAACACUGGAGCAAUAGUGACAUAAAAGUUGUAGGAGUAACCAAAUGCUAUCUGUAUUUAAGGCCCACUGCAUCAGAUGGAACAAAUGCCUGACACUGCUUUGGUGGCCAAGAACCUGAGACUAGAUAGACUGUGGGUCUGGGUAAAACCAAUACAACUGUUCUGCUAAGCAAAUAUAGCAAUAAAAUGACUCCUAACAACUUUGUGCUAUACUCAUAGACCAGUGUUUAACUCAUCCAGCAUCAUAAAUCUUUCUCACUAAUACGGAGACCCACACAUGACGAUGGAAGGGGAGUGAGAGACUUUGGAACACUCAGUUCUAAGUGGGAUGUCUUUAUCAAACUCCAUCCUUCAGGACUCAAAGAAAUAUGCAGACGAGGACUUAGAAAGAUUGUUAGAGCCACAGGGAAUGGACAACACCAAGGAAACGGUGUCUUCCCCACAGCAGGACUGAUGCACAUAUGAAGUCACAGAUAUUAUAGCAGCAUGAAUAGGGACUAUACAGGUUCAAGCUAGAAGGGGCAGCAGAGUUGAGAAUGGACAGGAGCUCCCAUCCCUAAUCAAGAAGCUCUCUCUCUCUCUUAUUGACAGCUGUUUGCAAGGGAAAAAUCCAUUUUCUCUCUGAGUGCACAAACUACAUGCAAUGGCAGGCCCCAUACCCAGCAGUGGGUGGCCAAUACAAAAUAAACUCAGUGGUUUUUUGAAGACUUUUUUUUUGACUCAUUUUGUUUUGUUUGGACUUUUUUAUCUUACUGAUCUUUGUUUGUAUAUUAUGGAUCCCAAUCUUGUGUUUUUUUAUGGGUUUUGUCUUUGUAUGCGUGUUUCUUGUGUUUUUGCUUUGUUUUUUUUUUUCCUAUUUUGUUUGUUUUUUUGUUUUGUUCUGUUUUUAAAACUACCCUGUUAUUUCCUAAAGAGAGAGAUAAAGAGGGCAUAGAAUUGAAUGGGUAGAAGCAUAGAGAAUAUCUGGGAGGAAAUGAGAGAGGGAAAACUGUGCUCAAAAUAUAAUGUAUAAGAAAAUGAGUUUAAAAGGAAAAGGUGGGCAGUGGUAGCACACACCUUUAGUCCCAGUACUCAGGAGGCAGGGGCAGGUGGAUCUCUGGGCUCAAGACCAGUCUCAUCUACAGAGGGUGUUCCUGGACAGCCAGGGAUAUCCAGAGAAAUCCUGUCUCAAAAAGCAAGCAAACAAGUCAUGCUCCAGCCUACAUUGCACAAGAUAACAGGAUUUCUCAGGACAUGGAUUUCAGAAACAUUUGGGAACAGAGUGGGCUCUUGCUGAAAUUGAAGGCAGUUCAUAUCGGAAGUUCAGAAACACUAAAGAAAUGCAUCAUUUACAAUGUCCAACAAGUAGUACAACCAAAAUUUGAUAUUUUUUCUUUGCUUUUUUUUCCCCUGUGAAGAAGAGAUCAUAUUUCAUAUUGGAAAGACUACUACACAAUUUCAUUUCAAAAGCAUCCCUAAUACUUCAUUUAAAUAUUCCCAUUCUCAAUUCAGUCUCAUCCCUCUAAUAGCACUUCACUGUAUCAUACAAAACAUUUUUUUCUCCUUGACAUUUAGUAUCUUCAAAUAAUAUCAAAGAGCCCAUUAACUCUCCUUUUAGUUUCUGCUCAGUCAAGCUGUGCAUAAUUAACUCCUUUAAUCUUUUCUCUGAAUUACUCUCUCCAUUUCCUUAAUCAGUUUGUGGCAUAUUUUCCGAAGUUUCUUUCAUUGCUAGCGAUUGUUAAGCUGUAUUCCGUGUGGCUUUAUGGGCAUACUACAAAACUGUGCACAAUGCAUUUGAUUAAGGGCUCUGCAGAGUAUCUGUGGAGCCAUUUAGGACACCAGCAAGUAAAUCCACACAUUUCCCAUGUAGCCUUUGCAGGGAAUCAACGACAGAUGAGGAGUCAAGAUCCCUGGAUGUUCAAAAGUCACCAAGGGAAGCUAUAAACCAUGAGUCAAUUAGCAAGCAGUUGGGGUUUUUGUUUUGUUUUUGUUUUGUUUUAAGGCUUCUUUUACUUAAAUCACUGAUACAUGCAAAGCCACACGGUGGCCAUUAUGUGCACACACAAGAUGGACUUUAUCUCUUGGUCUCUUCUUCCUUUGGCAGUCCGGAUGUACUCCUACUUCUUGGCCAGGAGGAGGUCCUCCAGGUGUUUGCAGUGUGAUUUCUUGGUCUUAAAACUUGUAAGCCUCAACCUAGUCAGCCAGGAGCUAGAUUAUGGAUGUGUUUCAUGAGAACCCUCUUGGUUUUGUUUGUUUGUUUGUUUGUUUGUUUGUUCUCUUGACUGUCUCAGAGGUUCCAGCUCUGUUACCUGUACCUGCUGGUCAAUCUUAGAUUCAUGGUAUCUCCUGAGACGCCUGCUCAGAAUCUACAGCCUCAUGCAAGUUACACUCUCAGGUGGUUAAGCGUUGGCAACGCGCUUUCUUUUCCCUAAGCAAGCACAUACGCCUGCCCUUCCACCCAGCGUGUGUGCUAGGUGGGUUUUUGUUUUGUUUUGUUUUGUUUUGUUUUGUUUUUUUGGAUUGUUUUGCUUUGUUUUGUCUUUUUGUCUUUCGUUUUGUUUUGUUUUGUUAUUUUCCAACAUCCAACCUAGGAAAGAUAGAGAUUUCAUUGUUUUCUCUGGGGUCCAAUGAGACUUCGUUUUGUCACCGUGGAGAACACUAGAGACUAGUGUCUACUGAUUCCUGAGCAUAUUCAUGGCAGAUUUAAUCAGAAAUAGUUGUAUUACCUAUCUAUACUCUGCAGUUGGAAGAAAAUCUUUAAUAGGUUGGGAUAAGAUCAAGGGAAAAACCAAAGAUGCAGAGACAAGGAGACAAAAAUCUCAAGAAAAUGAGAGGGGACCUAAGAACAUACAUCUUGUUCCUGAUUUUGCAUGAAAAGUAAACAUGCUGCAGACUAUAGACUUACAAACCUUGUCCCAUUUUUUAUCACUAUGGUUGACCCUUCUCAUCUGUAUCCAUCCUUUUUCCUACCCUACAGAUGCAUGUUGAGCACAGGUGAGACAAAACUGUGAACUUUUCUGCUCAGGAUGGCCUUAGAAUAGCCAGUCACCGGGGCUACGUUCCCAUAGGCUGUCCCUACUUCUCCCUCCACCACUUCCAUAAUCAAGAAUGCAGUUGCUUUACCUGUAGUUUUCAGACCUAUAUCCAGUACCCACAGAACUAUAUACUGUUUCUAACUUUAUAUAGUAACAGGACAUUCAAGUGCGCCCACUGACACCCUCCCCCAACAGUUGUUUCCUUCAAAGAGAGAAACAGAGAACCAGUCUGAUUCAGUAAUUAACACACACACACCCCGAACCUGAAGGGAACUGAAUUGGACUGGAUUAGGAGUGGACAGAGAUGUCAAAUGCUAGCAGCUGUACACACAAGAAGCAAGCCAUUGAAAGUUAUGAGGCAAAAGGGGCCAAGUGUCUCAGCUUUGAAGUUUAUCAUUUUAACUGGCAGUUUUGGCAGUCAACAUACUAUAGAAAAGUAAAAGGGUCCUAAGAGCUGGGAAAUAUGUAGAUUCACUGAAAAAACUAAUACAUGCACACAUGCACACACACACUAUCAUGUGAUCCCCAUAGAAGGUCAUUGAAUUGGAAUCUUCCUCCUACAGCCACAAUAACUGUUGUCAGAAACAGAAAUCAUCACCUGACUGGGAGGGAGAGCCUGGCUAUAAAUGGAAUCUGUCAUAUGACCCCUGUAGAGAAAAAGCUCAUCCAUUCUGGUUGCCAUCUGACUGCAGUCAGACAUCUGGUUCCCAGUGGCAGGCAUCUUUUGAUCCUCCUCCUGGAUAGUCUGGUCAAACACAGAAGUAACUAGAUGGUAUUCAUCUGGAGUCUGGUAACCACUGGAGAACAUUAUAGGGCUCCCUUCAAGAGUCUCCUCCCCUCCAGGGAGAAGAUCUUGAUUAUCACCAGAGCUGAUCCUCUGACUACCACAUACGGCUGUACUGUGGAGCCCAACACAUUCACUACUGCUCAAGGAGGUCACCUGGAUGACUUCAUUGUAGACUGUCUGUCAGGGACUGCUCUCUUCUGGAAAUCAGUGAGGGAAAUCUCCUGGAGGUUGAGCUCCUGCAGCCGAGAGCCUGCUGGGAAUUUCAUCUGGUCAGCAGACAUGGCUUGCUGGUACAUGGCUAAAUUCUCAUUUGGUUUUCCAAGUUGAAAAUUGAUGUCUUCUCCAGGGUAUGCAGUUGAGUUCUAGGUGAAGGCUGUCCCAGGCAUGCUACAAUAGCCAGAUGACAUCAUUGGUUGAGUCCUCGUAGGUAUCACAUGACUCAGCUGUCACAAGCCAGCUGGUUUCCACAGGGGCAGUGUGUGGAUAGCAGGACUCUGACUGAAAUUCAUGUCGGCUUUCUACCUGCUCCUUAAGCAGUUCAGAGAAGACCGGGAGAGGCUCCUCAGUUUCUUCUACUGUUCAGGGAUUGGAGAUCAUGUUGCUGAACUACAUUCUCAGCUCUGAGAAUUUAAGUCUUUAAAGUCGGUCAAAUGUAGAGAGAGACAGAGGUUAGUGGUAGACCCAAGCAGAUCCAGCAUGUGAGCUGCAGGCCAGGGCUUCAGACCUUCAGGAACUAUAAUGAAAGUGGGCUGGGAGAAAGGCACUCAACUCAGCUCUGGUGUCUGGAGUCUGCUUUUAGAAACCUCAGUAGGAAGUGGGCAGGGCCAUGCCCUUUGCCUUGGAGUUCAAAUCCAGAACACUUGCUUGAGCUCUUACUCUCAUGAGCUCAGAAUACAGAAGGUGAUUGAAUAAUUCAGCAAAGGAGCCAGGAAUUCCUUGAAGUCAUGAAGUCCAACAGGAGGAAGCUGAACUUUGGAUCUUGCCAUCCGUAUCACUGGAGUCAGACUCAACUCACAUUCUGGCACCUCUUGACUUAACCUAGAUGAUAGGUGAGCCUUUUUGAGCCUGGUGGGUUUUUUGUUUGUUUGUUUUUUUUCAUUUAUUCUUGUUUGUUUUGUAUUUUGGGUUUUAAAUGUUCCUUUAAACACGGAAUCUCAUUGAGUUUAAGGUUUGGCCACAAUACCUCAGCUCAAGCCAAGCCUUGUUCUUCAGCCUUCUUUGCCCUUAGAAUUGCUAUCACUAGAGGUAAGAAGGCUGGUGUCUUUCUUUCUUUUUUUUUUUUUUAACCCAAACUAACUUCCAGUUCUGUCUUUGCCCCUUUAUUGGCUACAGUAUUACAGCCAUUAACAACUAUCCCAUAAUGGCAGUUUUUGAUGUCAUCCUCUCCAUCCUCCAAGACUGCUGACCUCACCAAGGACUGACUCUCUUGGAAUCACAGGUGUGAUAUCAGCCAAUUCCAAAUUAGGCCAGGUGUGCACAGUCUCUGCUCCUCAUCACCACAGAGCCCAUUCUUAUAAAAUAUCUGUCCAGUGACACAUUUGUCCACGGCUCCUUAAAUGCUCUCUCCAACACCACUCUCCCUCUUUCCUCUGGUGAACUGACCCUGUCCUAGCUCUUUGGUGACCCGAUAUCAUGCAGCCUUUUUCCUCCAUGGGAGUUCAGAGGUUCUCAGAAGCAGGCUGUUAAGCUAAGUGCCUGAGAUGUGCAGGCACACUCCAUAGCUUAUCCUUUAAGCUGUCCAGUCACACAGAGGCAAAGUAUGAUUAUGAGAAAUUUACAGGCUUUGGCUUCCUGUAUUCUACUUUCUUUUGGAAAAAAAUUGCAUAUAUGAUUUCAGCAAAAUUACUUCAUCUUGUACUUUUCACACCUAUACCAUAUUUUACAUUGAAUUUUUGGUCAUUAAAUAUAUUAGUAGAGUGAAGAGCAAGAAUAACCCUUGAAUUUCUCUAAAUACAACUUACCCUGCUUUUUAAAAAAAAAUCUUAGGAACAGUAAAAAUUAGUAUGGCAUGGUGUAGCACUGUGGUUUUUUGUUUGUUUGGUUGUCUGUUUUUUGUUUUUUUUUGUUUUUUUACUUUUUUUAAUUAGAUAUUUUCUAUAUUUACAUUUAAAAUGUUAUCCCCUUUCCUAGUUUCCCCUCUGAAAAUCUCCUAACCCCUCCCCCCUCCCCCUGCUCUCCAACCCACCCACUCCCAUUCCUGGCCCUGGCAUUCCCCUAUACUGGGGCAUAGAACCUUCACAGGACCUAGGGCCUCUCCUCCCAUUGAUGACAGUCUAGGACAUCCUCUGCUACAUAUGCAGCUAGAGCCACAAGUCCUACCAUGUGUUUUCUUUGAUUGGUGGUUUAGUCCCAAGAAGCUCUGGAGGUACUGGUUAGUUCAUAUUGAUGUUCUUCCUAUGGGGCUGCAAACCCCUUUAGCUCCUUAGGUACUUUCUCUAGCUCCUUCAUUGGGGACCCUGUGCUCUGUCCAAUGGAUGACUGUGAUCAUCCACUUCUGUAUUUGCCAGGCCCUGGCAGAGCCUCUCAGGAGACAGCUAUAUCAGGUUCCUGUCAGCAAGCUCUUGUUGGCAUCUGCCAUAGUGUCUGGGUUUGGUGGUUGUUUAUGGGAUGGAUCCCCAAGUGGGGCAGUCUCUGUAUGGAUAGUCGUUCCUUCAGUCUCUACUCUGAACUUUGUCUCUGUAACUCCUUCCAUAGGUAUUUUGUUCCCCCUUCUAAGCAGGAUUAUCACUUUUUAUCCUUCACUUCUGUGAAGGAGUCUCUCAGAUGCAGGGCUUUGUUUGUCUGUUUCCAUGGCAACCAUCUUUGGUUCCUUCCUGUUUGCUAACUUCCUAAUCAAUAUUUGAUGUAAGUUUUUCUAUGUAAAGGAGAAUCUGAUCACCUUUCCCAUAAGCUCCUCAUCCACUUUAGCCACCGUUGAAGCCGAGUUUAGACUUCCUCAUCCAAGCUGAUCUCAGAGUAGUCAGCCCUCUGGGGAUAUUUCACAGGCUUUAUUGGCACCUUUUGCCUCUCUUCUCACCUUCCAACCACCCCGAGGUCCCUAUUCUCUCUACCCCUUCUUCUCCAUUCCCUUGGACACCAACAACUCUAUUUCCCUUCCAGCUUACAAAUUUGUCUCUUCCACCAUCAAAUCCUUCCCUCUGGGUAGUUUCCAGCUAUACACAGUACCAAGAACACUCACACAUGCCAGCUGAAAAUCUAAAAUAAACUCUCCUCCCAAAGGGAAAGAGAAAUGUCUGUAGACACACUAACUGAGCUGGUUCACACAGGGACUGCCCCCCCCUUCUUUCAUAUAUCAAUAAGUGUAGCUGAGAAACAUGUAGAUUUCAUAGAACAAAAUGUACAAAAGCAUACAGAGCACCUAAGCGCACACACAUACACACACACAAAUAAGAAGACAUGAAAAAAUAUCAUAGUUGAGGAUUUGAGGAGAAAAAUGAAAAUGUGGCUUUUAAUAUUUACUAAUGGGGAAAAUAAGCCACUAAGGAACAAAGUGACCUUACAACUGUCUUCAUGAGAGAAUGUGGAGAAAAAAGCUGUUGAUGGACUCAGUUGCACUUUUCCUUUGCUGGUCAUGUGACCAUAAAUCACCAGAUACAACUUAUGGGAAGCAGAGUUAUUUCUGCUUUUUCUCAGCUAUGAGCAUAUUGCACUAAAUAGAACUGCAUCUUUGGAUUAUAGGAGGUGACUUCCAGAGCAGCCAUAUAUUACCAAAAACCUAAAAUGGAUAACACUAUUCAAGUCCAAAAGAGGGAAGAUAAAUUGGGCCUACAUUAUUCCAUUGCUAUUCUUUCACUAUUUCUUAGUAUUUCUAUUGUUGCAGUUAUUCAGUACAAUUAAAAACCAAUAUGGAAGUUUAAUUAAUGUAAACAUCAUUACACUAGCCAUCUUAAAGAAAAGGAAGAUUAAAGGACUCGCCUUACUGUUAUGGAACACACCUUUUAAUCUUAGCACUCAGGAGUCAGAGACAGGAGGAUAUCUGUGAGUUCUUAGAAGAUCCUUGGGCAAAAAAUUAAUUCACUUUUGCAAAAUACCAAAUAAUCCAUUUUAUAUGGUAGAUGUUGCAUAUUUAUCUAUUCUAGCUUUUAAUAUUCACAAAUAGCUUUAAGCAUUUACAAUGUGUUGACAAUGUCCUUGGUAGAAUGAAAUUGUUGAGGACAGAUUAAAGGAACUUGUCUUAAGUACUGCCAUUUUGACUUUAGACUCCAUUUUACCUAAGCUGACUAACUCCCUCUCCAAGCAACAAUAAUUUCCCCAAAACCUACCUGUUACCAAUCCCUCUCUAAGCAAAAAUAGUUACCCAAAGCAUAAUUAAUGCCUAUUCCUAACAACAGAAAGAACAAACAACUUUGAUUAGUUGGGCAAAUCACUUAACUGAAUGUCGACUGACACUGAUAGAACACUUGGGAAAGUCCUAAUCCCUGCAUUCUGAUUGGCACAAAUUAAACUGUAACUUGACUCAGAGGCUUGUGGGGUUUAUGGCUAUGAACCCUGCUUCAGGCCACACUCGAUGCUGUCAGAAGAAACAAAGUUCCUGCGUCCUUGCAUGGUGGCCUCAGUCAAUCAGUGCUUCUGCUUAUGUGGUGGGAAUAAUGAAAGAUUCUGUUGUUUCACAAAGCCCACUGGUGUUUCCUUUCUCCUUCCUCGUGACAUACAACAGACAUGGUGUAACAGAAAUAAGUUUAGUGGGGCAGAUAUUCCUUGUGGACAGUCAGGUUCCAGCGCUGGCUCACACUUGUUCUUACAUGAGAUCUUGCAAAGGGUUUCUUUCACUUGCAUUCAGGAAGAGCCAUCCAGGUUGCUCUUCUUCCUGUGCCUGGUGAGCUCACCUGAUUGGAAGAACUUACACAUACACGCAGCUCUGUUGCACUUAGAGGAGUUUUUUUCAGUGUGCUUCCUCACAUGGGCUCUGAGGUAAUGAGACUGUGUAAGAUUUCUCACAAUCCUGGUAUAUUGAGAAGUAAAGCUUCAAACUUGGAGUUUUCUUCAGGAACACAAGACCCUGGGUCAUGAGAAGCUGUCUCUAGAGUAAAAAGAAAGCUAAAAAGCUUUCUGGAGUUUGUCCUGGGGCCAAAAAAGAACUUGAAGAAUAAAGGAUUCCACUCCCCUAUUGGGUCCAGUUACUAAAGGAAAUCAUUAAAACAUUGAGACUUUCUUCAAUACUGGGUGCUGUCCUCUGACCUCUAUAGAUAUCCUGCCUCCAGAGUUUGUCAUUUGACCACACUAAACAGUUUUUUUUUUUUCUGCAAUUGGGUGGUGCAUCUUCCUCCCAUAAAGUGGAUGUUCAAAAAUGGAUGUUGUUGUCUGACUCCAACAUAGAGGGUUUCAUCACCAACUGAGGUUGCUACCUGACUCUCAGAGAGAUUGUGAGCACUUUUGACUGUCUUAUGAUCUCCAUAGCAGGACAAAUCACCAAUGGGAUCUCUCAUCUGAGCUCCCUUAAGAACUUGAUGGUCACUGGUGGCAUCCUUUGGUUUGCUAGGCCUUGGAGGGGUGGAACCCAACAUCUAAUAUACCUUUUAUGCUCCUACAUCUAUGAUUUUGGAAUGCAGAGGGUGAUUGAAUGACUUGCAAUGGAGCCUGAUGUCAUUGACUAAAAUCCCAAAGUGAGGAUAAACUGUACAUUGAACCAUUUCUUCCCUACCUAAGUACUAGCUGCUAAGUCUUACCCUGGAGGACUGAGUUGAGGUUGUAGAAACUGAACAUUUUUGCCCAAGAAGUUAGCUACAGAUCUAGAUGUGAACCCAAAACUCUUACUCUCGAAAGCUGAGUCUGUUCGUAAAGAGUCAAGACAUGAAUUUAAGUCUAACCACCUUCUGAAAUAUGCAUAUUCCAUCUCACUGACACCUUUAAAUUAAAAUUACUUAUUUACAAAACCUUGAAAAUUCAAUCAAGUUACUUUUAGAUAGAUAAUAGUGUUACAAUUUUUCACCUCAAAUUGUGAUCUUCCUGCUAUAGUCUGAAAUUUUUCGAGGGUGCCACUUGACUGGUCUGUGUUUUUUCUUCUAUCUUUUACUUUUUUCUUUCAUUUUUUUUUCUGUUGUUGUUUUGCUUUCUUUUGGUUUUACCUAGGGCUCAUCCAUUGUUGUCCAGGUUGACCUCAAUCCCACACUCAAGCAACCCUCCAUAAAGGCCUCCUUGAGACUACCCCUUGCCUCUGGUGACAAUGGCUACUUGAUUCUUCUUCCUCUGUCUCCCAAGGGACAGUGGAGCUAGAAAGCAUCACCAGCCCCAAGGCCAAAUUGGCAGGUGUUGAUAUCCAUCAUUCCCCAUUACCCAGACUGUUUUACCUCAUCAUGCACUGACAGUCCUGAAAUUCCAUGCCUGACCUCUGAUCCCAGCCAGACUGCUCCAAAUGUACACCUGUCACCCUUCCAUUCCCACAAAGUGCCAAUUUUGCAAGGACCAACCCUGUCCAAGGAAUAGGAUAUCUGUUCGCCCCUAGUUUCCAAACUUUUAAGCAACACCAUUUAUACUCUUCUUCCUCGGUGAGAUGGCUUUAUGUCCAUUCUUUCACACCUGACAUAGAAGUUCCAGGGCUUCCAGGAUGGAGCUGAGAUUCCAUGUGCCUUUUGGUGACUUCAACGAUGUAACCUUGGGCCUGCUGGCUCACAGCCUGGCUUCCAUUGCCAUCUCCUAAGCAACACAGCCACAGACUUGGCAAAUAUCUUUGAAUAAGUGACAGGAUUUUGGGUUCUUAUAUUCCAAUUCUACUUUUGAAAAAGAAGUAUAGCAUACAUGAAAUAUACAAAAUGGCUUCAUCAUGAUCUUUCACACUGUAUCAUAGAUUUUAAAAAUGAAUUUUAUAAUUAGAAAAAGACAUAUUUAUGGAAUCAUAAAGCAAAAAGUCCCCUAACUUUAUGAAUACAGCUUACUCUUGUCAGAAAAAUUUUAUUAACUCUUUAAGAAUAUUAAAAACUAUUGUGCAUCAAGUUGCAGCAACUCUGAAUUCUUUAUUCUAAGAAGGCAUCUCUUUAGAUGCAUGGCUCUGAAUGUCCUUGUUACCGUGACAACGGUCUUUUUCUUUCUCAUCUCCUAAUUCAUUUGCUGAUCAAUACUUUGCGAAAAUUGUUUCUAUGGAAAUGUGAAUCUGUUUACCUUUUCCCUAGCCUAAAUAUCCACCAUCUCCACAGGUAGGAAAAAAUUUGACAUUCUCUUGGCCAAUAUGAACUUAGAGUAGCCAGCACUAUGGAGACUAUUUUCAAAUGAUUUACUGGAAGAUUUUGCAUUAUAUCUUCCGACCACCCUCAGAUUCUCACUCUCUCUACUGAUUCUCUGACAUUCUUUUGAACACUGAUAAAGCCAUUUUGCCCUCUCCAGCAAUGGAGAUCUGUCACCUCCACUCUCAGAGUGUUUUCUCUGUCUAGUUUGACUUUAACAACAACGGCAAGAGCACACCCAUCUGUCCCAACUGAAAAUCCUCACAGGCUGAACCCCACUCCACAUUUCCCAGCACUCAGGUGACACCCCUGGACUUGAUUAAGAGUAGGUGGAGGUGUCUGACUCCAAAGGGAUUGGCAAUCUCGUUCUGUUGUACACACAUGAGACAGAUCAUUUAAAGGAGUGAGUAUAUAGACGCUCUGUGUCUCCAUGUGUAGGUUUAGCAUUUUCUCUGGUUGUUUUGUCAGUCAAACCUGUAUAGAAACCUGAAAAGGGACUAAGGACAAUAUAGGUGUGAAGUAUGUAGAUUUCAAUUUCACUGUGUAAGCCAACAUAAAAGCACACAGUACACACAAGAACACCCAUACACACACACACACACACACACACACACACACACACACAUACACACAGGUAAAGGUUAGAUGGCAGAGAAUAAGGAUCGGAGAGUUUUAGGGUAUAAGGGGAGCAAAUCUGUUUUUUUAAGUAUUUUAUUUUUAAUUAUGUGUAUGUAUACAAAAGCACUGUUGCCAGAUGAGGUUAGAAGAUGUGGGAUCUUCUGGAGCCAGAAGUUCCAGUUCCAGGUGGCUGGAACCUGCCCUAGAUAGAUGUUAGGGAACAAACUUGGCUCCUCUGGAAAAGAAACAUAUGAGCCUAAGCUCUGAGCAAUCUCUCAAGCCCCUAAGUGUGAUUCUUCCUCUUCUCUUUGAAACAGGUUUUUUUCAUACAAUGUAUUCUGGUCAGAUCUUCCCCUCCUCCAGUUCUUCCCAGCUCCUCUGCACCCCGCCAAUCACCCAAAUCCACACCCUUUCUUUCUCUCUCGCAUUAGAAAACAGACUAUUUUUAAAUUAUUUUAUCUAAAUAAAAAUUCAUUUUAUUUGUCUAAAUAAAAUAAAACUAGAAUAAGAUAAAACAAACAAAAACAGAAGAAGGUGAAAGAAAAAACACAUAAGAAACACGUACGGUUGCAGAGACACACACAGAGAAAUCCCAUAAAAACACAAAAUCAAAAACUAUGAUAUUAUAAGCAAAAGACCUAUAUAAGAUUAAAAAAACAAUGCCUAGACAAAGCACUAUGUUACAAAAAAGCAAAACCCUCCCAAAAAUACCAUUGAGUAUGUUUUGUGUUGGCCAUUUAAGUUUGGUUCUUAAUAAUCACACAUCUAGGAAAUAAUAUCCCAAGGGAGGAAAAUGCUCACUCAAAGGGUUUAGCUGAGAGAACAAAGAAAGAGUUGUAAGGUUAAAUGCACCUGCUGCUUUUCUCAUUACCAUGGCCACACCCCGCCCCCAAACAAUUUGGUUAUUUUGGGCUCAUGGUUUCUCAGGGUUCAGUCCCUCUUGACAGCAGAGGGUACAUCAGGUCAAACCAACGAGCACAGAAAUGUCAUUUCCCUGAGCUUGGGUGGCAUUAUUCUUUCCUUCUUGCAUUUUUAACUUCCAGUCCCAGCCCAGGGAAGCUGCCUCCAUGUUCAAGGUUCCACCUGCCACCCCCAGUUAGUCUUCCCUGGGAACUCCCUCACAGAUGCACCCCAAGGUGCCAAGGUGGGCUUCAUCAGUCUCUUACAUGAUUCAACUCAAAAUUUAGUCAACUUGACAAUGAAAAUUAAACACUAUAUUUAAUUUCCUCCUAAAUUUGUUUUUCCCGGUCCACUUUUUUUUUUUUUCCAGUUAUGAGCUUCAAUGUUGCCGUGCUA